CGCCAGACUCCUACGGGAGGCAGCAGUGGGGAAUAUUGCACAAUGGGGGAAACCCUGAUGCAGCGACGCCGCGUGAGUGAAGAAGUAUUUCGGUAUGUAAAGCUCUAUCAGCAGGGAAGAAAAUGACGGUACCUGAUUAAGAAGCCCCGGCUAACUACGUGCCAGCAGCCGCGGUAAUACGUAGGGGGCAAGCGUUAUCCGGAUUUACUGGGUGUAAAGGGAGCGUAGACGGUGAUGCAAGUCAGAAGUGAAAGCCCGGGGCUCAACUCCGGGACUGCUUUUGAAACUGUGUGACUGGAGUGCAGGAGAGGUAAGCGGAAUUCCUGGUGUAGCGGUGAAAUGCGUAGAUAUCAGGAGGAACACCAGUGGCGAAGGCGGCUUACUGGACUGUAACUGACGUUGAGGCUCGAAAGCGUGGGGAGCAAACAGGAUUAGAUACCCUUGUA
rnacentral:rRNA from 1 species